rnacentral:rRNA from 1 species
GACGAACGCUGGCGGCGUGCUUAACACAUGCAAGUCGAACGCUGAAGCUCAGCUUUUGUUGGGUGGAUGAGUGGCGAACGGGUGAGUAACACGUGAGUAACCUGCCUCCUUCUUUGGGAUAACGCCCGGAAACGGGUGCUAAUACUGGAUAUUCACUGGUCUUCGCAUGGGGGUUGGUGGAAAGGGUUUUUCUGGUGGGGGAUGGGCUCGCGGCCUAUCAGCUUGUUGGUGGGGUGAUGGCCUACCAAAGCUUUGACGGGUAGCCGGCCUGAGAGGGUGACCGGUCACAUUGGGACUGAGAUACGGCCCAGACUCCUACGGGAGGCAGCAGUGGGGAAUAGUACACAAUGGGCGCAAGCCUGAUGCAGCGACGCCGCGUGAGGGAUGGAGGCCUUCGGGUUGUGAACCUCUUUCGCUCAUGGUCAAGCCGCAACAAUGGUUGUGGUGAGGGUAGUGGGUAAAGAAGCGCCGGCUAACUACGU